rnacentral:pre_miRNA from 1 species
AUGAGAUGAAAUCAAUAUUUAGAUAUAUGACUUUAUACUGAUUCCAUCUCAUGA